UCCCGAGUAGCUGGUAUUACAGGCGUGUGCCACAAAGCCUGGCUAAGUUUUGUAUUUUUAGUAGAGACGGGGUUUCACCAUGUUGGCCAGGUUGGUCUCGAACUCCUGACCUCAAGUGAUCCACUCACUUUGGCCUUUCAACGUGCUGGGAUUACAGGCGAGAGUCACCGCACCCGGACGACUCUGACAUUUUUGAAGAGUCCAGAAUCCUGUUACACCUGGGAUUUAGGCACUUUCAAUCUGAAAAAAUACAUAUCCUUUCAGCACUCUGGACGGACUUGAGAACUGUCCUUACGUGACCUAAAGCUGGAGUAUUUUGAGAUUGGAGAAUUAAGGCCAACAGAGAUUUUGAGAAACACAUUGAAGGAUCUGUUAACACUUGAUAUACCCAAUAAAAGCAGUGGUUGUGCCAGUGCUGAUCUGUCUUGAUGUGAAUGUGAACAAUGGGAACCUGAGCUGAGCAGUUAAUGCUAGGGUGACAGAAACUGGACCUCUCCCAAGACAUGUGACAGAGUAAUACAGCAGCCAACUUCUUCGCCAAAUUAAAGUUUUACAAGAUUUAACCUGUCAUCAAGACCUGGGAUUUUGGUGAGCCAGUCUUGGUGCUCUGUGUUCACCUGGUUCAUCUGAGGAGCUGCAUCUACCCUGCCCAUGCCAUAGAUCCUGCCCUGUUUGCUUCUCCUGUUGCUGCUAGUGGACAUGAGAAGGACAGAAUAACGGGCUCCCAGAUUCACAAGCCCCACCAAGAGGAUCACCCCAGGAACGCUUGGAGGCUGAGGAGUUCACUGAGGCUACUGCAUCUUGAGACUCAGGAUGAAGACCCAGCUUGGGGCUGUCAAAGGUUUUUUGCAUGUCUGACACCCAUGACUCCACCUGGACCUUAUGGCUCCACCCAGAAGCAAUUCAGCCCAACAGGAGGACAGCUUCAACCCAUUACGAUUUCAUCUCUGCCCCAACCACUCAGCAGCAAGCACCUGUUACCUGUCCACCCCCACCCCUUCCCCCAAACUGCCUUUGAAAAAUCCCUAACCUAUGAGCUUUGAAUAAGAUGAGUACGAACUUCAUCGCCCACGUGGCGUGGCCGGCCUCGUGUCUAUUAAAUUCUUUUUCUACUACAA
rnacentral:lncRNA from 1 species